rnacentral:rRNA from 1 species
UACGUAGGUCCCGAGCGUUGUCCGGAUUUAUUGGGCGUAAAGCGAACGCAGGUGGUUUAUUAAGUCUGGUGUAAAAGGCAGUGGCUCAACCAUUGUAUGCGUUGGAAACUGGUAGACUUGAGUGCAGGAGAGGAGAGUGGAAUUCCAUGUGUAGCGGUGAAAUGCGUAGAUAUAUGGAGGAACACCGGUGGCGAAAGCGGCUCUCUGGCCUGUAACUGACACUGAGGCUCGAAAGCGUGGGGAGCAAACAGG